UAAGCACACACCACACAGGCACGGCGGUAGCAGUCCAAUCCCUGAAUCCCACCGCUCAAUCUGAAUCCCCAUCCUCUGGACGCGCCGGAGCCUUGAGGAGCGGACGGUGCCGGAGCUACAGGAAGCCGCCGCAGCCCUCGCCGUGUAUCGCGCCGCCGGAUGAGGACGUGCUGCAGCGCACGUCGCUGGACGGGUCGUCCGCCGCUAUAGAGCUAGGUCUCCUACCUCAACCCUGCCAAGAUCGAGAAGACCCUGCCAAGAUUGAUAAGGCCAGACAAAGGCCACGGUAUGGCUGUCUUCCCCGGUGAUGCAGUUCAUUGACUACUGCUUUGAGGCACGGAAAGCGAAAACUUUAAAAGGACUGCACAUUAUUUUGGAACAGUGAUUAGGAUUACAACUGCAAGAUACACGCUGAACAUGUUUCAGUGUGAUUUUGGUACUUCGAAAUAGUUUGCAAGACAAGCUUAGUUCAAAAUUCAGUCCACCUGCCGUCAUAAUUCUUUUCAUAGAGGAUGCAUGGCAUGGUUCUGUGUGACGUAGGAGUGGAUCAUCUAAGGUAACAUAGGCUUCCUCAACACUUGCUCCAUCCUAAUUCUUAGUCGCCUUUGCCAUUUCUUUUGUGAUUAUGGUUGAAUUAUAGAAUGUUCAUUUGGCGCCAAAAUGUGCUUGGAGUAUCAAUUUUACUAUCCAACUCAUUUUGGUGCUCAAAAUUUUCUAUUCUACAAUCCCUGGUUUAUGCUGUGUAAACAAGAAGAACGAAGAAUCCAAUAUGUUUCUUCCUUAUCUUUGUUGUCAUGUACCCUGCGUAUUUUACUUUCUAUUUAAAAUUGUAGUAACCUGUUCUUAAUUUAUAUUGAUAAAAAAACUUGCAAAGAUGCACUUACCUGAAUCUGUGGUGUGUUUACAAGCAUAGGCAGUAACCAGAACCUGAAAAAAAACUUUAUACCUUUCAUUGUUUUGUUUAUAAAUAAUCACAUUUAGAGAUUGGUUCCAAGAAGCAACAGGAAAUAUUUUUUAAUGCACAUUGAUACAGACUCAAACAUUCAAUAGCGGGGGUUCUUUCCUAUUGAUUCCUUUGAAUUUUAUUAGAAGUGCUUAUUAAAUUAUACCAGUUUGUGGUGCUUACUUAUAAUUUAUUUCUGAAACCAAUUUGUUUGUCAUUUUUUGUGUUAAACAGCUCCACCUCUUGAGUAUAUUGUGUAUUAUGGCCGAAUUAUGAUCUAUAUCAGGUGAGAAAAGCAGGUUCAGCGAUGUAGAUAAAUUCCAUCGGUGUAUUUCUAUGUUCUUGAAACAAAAAACUUCUAAUUAGUAGUUUAGUUUACCUUACUUAUAAUGACACAAAAAUGCAGAAGACGAGAUGUGUCUAGGGAAGUACAAAUUAUUAGCAUUCAAGAGCUCAUAGUGUUCAAUAUUGUUUGGUGCAUCUAUUGUAUAAACUGACGCAGAUAAGUUUGUAUGUAUGUUCAUCCAAUAAAAAAAUGAGAUUACUGAUGUUUUUUCGUAUUUUUUGCAUGUGUUGUAUGGACUGAUAUCUCAGUAUGGCCUUUAUGAUUAAUUGCAGUGCACCUGGAAUCUUGAGUAUAUUAUGUAUUAUGGCUGAAUUAUGAUCUAUAUCAGUGCACUUGUAAUCGUAACUAAUGGUGCGCUCUACUUCUCCACAUGAUUUCGGUGCAUCUACCAUGGUGUUAGAGCAUCCACG